rnacentral:rRNA from 1 species
AUUGAACGCUGGCGGCAUGCUUUACACAUGCAAGUCGAACGGCAGUGCGGGGCAACCUGGCGGCGAGUGGCGAACGGGUGAGUAAUAUAUCGGAACGUACCCAGAAGUGGGGGAUAACGUAGCGAAAGUUACGCUAAUACCGCAUACGAUCUACGGAUGAAAGUGGGGGACCUUCGGGCCUCAUGCUUGUGGAGCGGCCGAUAUCUGAUUAGCUAGUUGGUAGGGGAAAGGCCUACCAAGGCGACGAUCAGUAGCUGGUCUGAGAGGACGACCAGCCACACUGGGACUGAGACACGGCCCAGACUCCUACGGGAGGCAGCAGUGGGGAAUUUUGGACAAUGGGCGCAAGCCUGAUCCAGCAAUGCCGCGUGAGUGAAGAAGGCCUUCGGGUUGUAAAGCUCUUUUGUCAGGGAAGAAACGGCUGAGGAUAAUACCUUCGGCUAAUGACGGUACCUGAAGAAUAAGCACCGGCUAACUACGUGCCAGCCGCCGCCGUAAAAC